ACAAAGAAAUAACAGUAGAUCCCCAACAACUUGUGGUAGUGUUUAUUCAAUGAAUAUUAUGACUUUUGAUAAAAUGUAAUCUGCGUUGAUUCCA